UGCACGGUGGUGCAGUGGGUAGCACUGUUUCCUUGCAGCAAUUAGGUCCUGGAUUUGACCCCCAGCUGGGGGUCUUUCUGCAU